GUUUGACAUAAUACCUAGAGUCUUAUAAGAUAUAAAUAUUAAAACUGUGGGCUGCUUUGUUCAAGCCAUUGUUAAUUCUUGUAGUUUUGGUUGAGAGAAUUAUCUUGCUCCAAAGAUCAAGAUCUUUUUGUUUUAAACAUAUAAAAGAUUCACUCUUUCGAAGUAUUAUUGCGUUAGAGGCAUGGGACUAUGCAAAAAUUUGAUUCGAAAAAAAAAGAGUGAGACGAGAGGUAAAAAUGGACAAGUGUCCGAAGUAGAAUUAGGGGUACAAAGAUACCCACCUGAGUGAAAAAAAUGGACACGUGUCCGAUAGUAAAAUUAGGGGUACUUGGUGCCCACUUGAAAAAAAAGAGAGAGAGACUGAAAAAACAUAAUUAAAAAAUGAUAGCCCAUGGUCCCUCUAAUAAGCAAUAUGUCAGUAAGUGUUGACAAACUUUUCAAAAAGGUCAAAGGUCUUGAUCUAGGAGUAUGACAUUCCUCACCCUUGCUUCGAGCAUUGACAUAGCAAAAUGCAAAGUAAGUAUGCUAAAACUUUUAAAGCUCUACUUAUAUAUCUUUCGAGAAGAAGGCAAAUACCUCAGUUUUAUUUUGGAAACUUACAAAAAACUCCAGAACAAAGGUAAGACAAAAGAACUUGAGACAUAGUGCUUGACUUGAUCGUUCUGUUUUUCAAUCACUUAAGACCUUAGUGAUAACUUAAAAACCC
rnacentral:lncRNA from 1 species